UACGUAGGGGGCAAGCGUUGUCCGGAUUUACUGGGCGUAAAGAGCGCGUAGGCGGAGAUCUAAGCGUGGCCUGAAAGCCCCCGGCUCAACCGGGGAGUGCGGCUGCGAACUGGGUUUCUUGAGGACGAUAGAGGAGAGUGGAAUUCCUGGUGUAGCGGUGAAAUGCGUAGAUAUCAGGAGGAACACCCGAGGCGAAGGCGGCUCUCUGGGUCGUACCUGACGCUGAGGCGCGAAAGCUAGGGGAGCAAACGGG
rnacentral:rRNA from 1 species